rnacentral:rRNA from 1 species
GAUGAACGCUAGCUACAGGCUUAACACAUGCAAGUCGAGGGGAAACGAUGAGAGAGCUUGCUCUCUUAGGCGUCGACCGGCGCACGGGUGAGUAACGCGUAUCCAACCUACCCAUUACAGGGGGAUAACCUUGCGAAAGUAAGACUAAUACCCCAUGGCAUUUUAUGGUGGCAUCAUUAUAGGAUUAAAGAUUUAUUGGUAAUGGAUGGGGAUGCGUCUGAUUAGCUUGUUGGCGGGGUAACGGCCCACCAAGGCAACGAUCAGUAGGGGUUCUGAGAGGAAGGUCCCCCACAUUGGAACUGAGACACGGUCCAAACUCCUACGGGAGGCAGCAGUGAGGAAGAUUGGUCAAUGGGCGAGAGCUUGAACCAGCCAAGUAGCGUGCAGGAGGACGGCCCUAUGGGUUGUAAACUGCUUUUAUAGGGGAAUAAAGUGAGCUACGUGUAGUUUAUUGCAUGUACCCUAUGAAUAAGGACCGGCUAAUUCCGUG